GGUAUUUAUCAAGUAAGCCAGCAUUGGGACAAGUUAACGAUCACCAAGAAGGCGUCCGAUGCUGCAAGCUUCCUACAUGAUUGUGUGUGCAGUGAAACCUGAUGGCUGCCUCCGCAACACUCUCCAAUGAGACAUACUGGCCGGGCAUGUCUUCUUCUCGCCAUGGUGACAUGGUGUAUGACGAGCUGCAAAGUAUCAACUGACGUGGGAUAU